rnacentral:tRNA from 1 species
GGGACUUAGCUCAGUUGGCUAGAGCAUCUGCCUUGCACGCAGAGGGUCGAGAGUUCGAAUCUCUUAGUCUCC